UACGGGGGGAGCAAGCGUUGUUCGGAUUUACUGGGCGUAAAGGGCGCGUAGGCGGCGCGACAAGUCACUUGUGAAAUCUCCGGGCUUAACCCGGAGCGGCCAAGUGAUACUGUAGCGCUAGAGUGCGGAAGGGGCUACUGGAAUUCUCGGUGUAGCGGUGAAAUGCGUAGAUAUCGAGAGGAACACCUGCGGCGAAGGCGGGUAGCUGGGCCGACACUGACGCUGAGGCGCGAAAGCCAGGGGAGCGAACGGG
rnacentral:rRNA from 1 species